CCCACUUGUUUACACUUUUCUUAUGGAUUUAAAAUGAGUAAAAAGAACUGUUGAUAAUGCACAAGGGAAAAUAUAAUGUAAUACGUUACUUUUGCAUACAGAAUAACUUCGUGAAGCUGAUUAUACACAGUGGACCAGAGUCCUGGAUGGAAAUGCAAGCCUUGCUGAAAUCUCUGAGCUCAUCUCAAGCACAGAUCGGACCCUGAAUGCAUGUGGGAAGGAGCUGGAUGAGUAAAGAGAUAUUUUCAGCUUGAUCCACUCAAAACACUGACAGAAGUGACAAUCACCAUUACUCUGCAGUAGUUGGUAUUAUACUGAGAAGCUGGAUAACUUGGGUGAGGUUCUAAAAGAACCAGUGGAGAAAUGGAUGCAUGAAAUAAAUGAGCUCUCCCAGGGUAUCACAGAGAGGUCCUAUUUGGAGGUCCUGGUUUCUCACCCUGAAAGCCAUCUCCUGACUCUGCAUCUUCCACGUGGGCACUUCUGGUAACGUUGUCAUUUUUGCAGCAGUUCCCUGUUUGAUAUUAACUAUGCUGUCCUCACUUCUUUGCAAGGCAAACACGGUUUUUGCUCUGCGACGGAUGACUUUAAAAAUACAAGUGGACAGGCAUUUUUAAUUAAAGUCGAAACAAAGUUAAAUAAGCCUGAAGUACAGUGCAUUCUGCUCUAGCACAACGUUAAUUCUUAAGUAAAUCGUGAGAAGCCUCGGAGCCCUAUGCUGCCUCUGUACAGCAGAUGGCAUUACAGGUAAUAUUUAUCAUACUCCAAUCCCAAGGCGAAGAUAGUAGGGAGGGAGUACUGACGUCAGCUACAAGUGAAUCAGUCUUAAUACAAGCUGAAAAACUGCUUGCGCCUUCAACAGUCGAUUACAUCGUACAGCAUUUCUGCUUUGUGCUCCCCAUCACGCUUAUUAGUCUGUCUGAGCAAGCCUAGCAGGAAGAGUUCAUUUCGUUUUGCAGCUUAAACGAACUGAUGUAAAUGGAUCUUGGACUUUGAGGUGGGAAGAUUCCACGCAGCUGCUGUAACCAGGGGAAUGCCCUUUGCUCCAGUUUUUGUGCCAAAUUUGUGCAUUUGAGAAUUUUAAACAAAUGCCACUUGGCAGGAUAUUGGCCCUGGGGGUACCAUAAUAGUACUGAGUGAGACAGCAGCGUAUGUAUGGAGAUCUAUCAGCGCUGAUAGUGAGUAGUGGGAAAAACCAACCCUCUUGUAUUUCAUUUAAAAUGGGGGGUUGGUGUUAUUUUUUUUUCUCUUGAGUUGAGUGAUCUUCUGAAUGAAAACCAAUAGCACUCUUUCAUCUGGGGGAACUGUCA
ensembl:lncRNA